rnacentral:rRNA from 1 species
AAGCGGAGGAAAAGAAACCAACAGGGAUUGCCCCAGUAGCGGCGAGUGAAGCGGCAAGAGCUCAGAUUUGAAAUCGUGUUUCGGCACGAGUUGUAGAGUGUAGGCGGGAGUCUCUGUGGAGCGCGGUGUCCAAGUCCCUUGGAACAGGGUGCCUGAGAGGGUGAGAGCCCCGUAGGGUGCUGCGCGAAGCUUUUGAGGCCCUGCUGACGAGUCGAGUUGUUUGGGAAUGCAGCUCCAAGCGGGUGGUAAAUUCCAUCUAAGGCUAAAUAUUGGCGAGAGACCGAUAGCGAACAAGUACUGUGAAGGAAAGAUGAAAAGCACUUUGAAAAGAGAGUGAAACAGCACGUGAAAUUGUUGAAAGGGAAGGGUAUUGGGCUCGACAUGGGGGGUGCGCACCGCUGUCUCUUGUAGGCGGCGCUCUGGGCGCCCUCUGGGCCAGCAUCGGUUCCUGCUGCGGGAGAAGGGGCUCCGGAAAGUGGCUCUUCGGAGUGUUAUAGCCGGGGCCAGAUGCCGCGUGUGGGGACCGAGGACUGCGGCUUCUGUCUCGGAUGCUGGCAUAACGGCGCAAUACCGCCCGUCUUGAA